rnacentral:sRNA from 1 species
UUGACAGCAUUGCAAACUGAAGUCCUCUAUUUAUCCACAGCUGAAGGGUAACUUUUCCCACAAUACCUCACACUCAACCCUGUGUCUCAGUCCUGACAGCUAGGUACUACAGCACUUCCAGGGAUAAGAGGGGAUUUCAUACUUACUAGUCCUUGGCCACU